UAUGUAAAAGAUGUAAAGCUCUUGGGGACUUCUGUUCUAGAGCAAAGGAAAAAAUAGCCUCAACCAGCUCUGGAAAUAAAGACAAAUUCACUUAAAAUGGACAUUAGGAACACAGAGGUACAAGGGCCAUCUCUCCCCAUCAGUUUGCCCUGCAGAGAGACCUGUCUUAAAGAUCAAGAAGCUCAGGGAGAAAGUGGAAAUUGCUGGCAGCUCUGCUAAGGCUGGUCUUGCAAAAUACCUUCAAAUGCUAAGCAGUGGGUUUCCUCGGGCUGUGUGCAAGGAGAAGAGUUGUGGUGGGAACAGCCCUGAGCUUCAACAUCCUCAUCGUUUGGGAGAGCCAGGGGAUCCUGUGGGGCUUGUGUUUGUAACUGGAGUUACACACAGUCAGUGCUCUGAAUAGGGAUAAAUGCCUCACCUGCCUAGGGAGGAUGUACUUCUCCUCAAAUCCUGUAGUGGCUGUAUCUGGAUCAGAAAACAGUUGGCUCUGAUGAUUAUGGUUUGGAGCUGGGAGGGUGUUUCAGUUGUUUAUUGUUCACCAGUCAAAGAAGAAAGAGAAGCGGUGGCGUAAAUUGGUUGUGAAGUGCUUUAACACUAUGUUCAGUGAGCUGGAGGCACAGUUGAAGGCCAGGCAGCAGGGGUUGGAGAGGAUUGUCAUAUACCAGGGUGUUCAACAAGGAGAAACAGGAAACAUGGUAAUGGUUUGACUUUGUGUAACUUGUAUUUGUGGAACAUAAAGCAAGCUGAGGAUAUAUACCAGGCCAUAUCUAAAGCAAGGGAAAAGUCUCCAUUCAGCGCUCUUCCUGAGCUCAA